rnacentral:rRNA from 1 species
GAUGAACGCCGGCGGUGUGCCGUAAUACAUGCAAGUCGUACGCACUGGCCCAACUGGAUUGAUGGUGCUUGCACCUGAUUGACGAUGGAUCACCAGUGAGUGGCGGACGGGUGAGUAACACGUGGGGAACCUGCCCCUAAGUCUGGGAUACCAUUUGGAAACAGGUGCUAAUACCGGAUAAUAAAGCAGAUCGCAUGAUCAGCUUUUGAAAGGCGGCGUAAGCUGUCGCUAAGGGAUGGCCCCGCGGUGCAUUAGCUAGUUGGUAAGGUAACGGCUUACCAAGGCGACGAUGCAUAGCCGAGUUGAGAGACUGAUCGGCCACAAUGGAACUGAGACACGGUCCAU